AUUUUAUGGGCACACAAUGGAUGACUUGCUUUUAAGGGCCGAAGAAGGACGUGCUAGACUGCGAUAAGCCUCGGGAAGGCGCCAAGAGCCGCAAUUACCCGGGGAUUUCCGAAUGGGGAAACCCUCCCCCGCUUUGCGGGGGGAUUCUUAACUGAAUACAUAGGUUAAGAAAGGGAACCUGGUGAACUGAAACAUCUAAUUAACCAGAGGAAAAGAAAUCGAAUGAGAUUCCCUUAGUAGUGGCGAGCGAAAAGGGAAAAGCCUAAACCUGCUUGUACGUAGGACAAGGAGACCCAACUUUCAAAUCCUAAAUUCUAAGCACUAAGCUCCAAAUAAAUUUUAAGCACUAAAGCAUUAAGCUCUAAACACGAUUGUUAUUCUAAAGUUUAGAAUUUUGAAUUUAGUAAUUAUUUGCCUGCCUGCCGCAGGCAGGGAACUUAGAGUUUUAUUUUUCCAAGCUCAAAACCGCCCCGCACGGCGGGGCGGUAUUAAGCUUGCUCCGACGAAGUCGGGCUGAGCGCAGCGAAGAAAAAGAAGAUACCCCGACCGUAAGGUCGAGGGAGCUUCAUAUUUAGAAUUUAUGUGAAGGUAGGUUUUCCCGUCCUGCGUAUGAGCGGGGGUUGUAGGGUUUAUCUUUUAAAACACGAAGAGAUAGUAGAAAAUUCUGGAAAGGAUUACCACAGAAGGUGAGAGUCCUGUAUACGAAAUUUCAUAUUGUGUUUGUGAUAAAUUCCUGAAUACCUCGGGACACGUGUAAUCCUGAGGGAAGCUGGGGCGACCACGCUCCAAGGCUAAAUACCCUCAAAAGCGAUAGUGAACAAGUACCGUGAGGGAAAGAUGAAAAGAACCCCGGUGAGGGGAGUGAAAUAGAACCUGAAAUUGUGUUGCCUACAAAGCGGGUAAAGGUCGCCGAUUCGGCGACUAAUACCGUGCCUAUUGAAGAAUGAGCCGGCGAGUAUGUUCCGUCUGUUAAGGUUAAGAGCUUCAGGCUCGAAGCCAAAGGGAAACCGAGUCUUAAAAGGCGAAAGCACGAUAGGCGGAACUUGACCCGAAACCGAGUGAUCUAUCCAUGGCCAGGGUGAACCCGUUGUAAAAGACGGGGGAGGCCCGAACCCGUGUCUGCUGCAAAAGGCUGGGAUGAGCUGUGGUUAGGGGUAAUAUGCCAAUCGAACUCGGAGAUAGCUGGUUCUCCCCGAAAUAGCUUUAGGGCUAGCGGUCGUUGAUCCAAACGGGGGUAGAGUUACUGAAUGAAUCGCUGGGGGAGAAAUCCUUCGCAUUCAACCAAACUCCGAAUACCGUUUUUACAAACGACUAGUCAGAACAGCGCGGCUAAGCGCGUUGCUCAAGAGGGAAACAACCCAGAUCGUCAAUUAAGGUCCCUAAAUGGAACUCAGUGGUAAAGGCGGUGGAGGUACAUAGACAGCCAGGAGGUUGGCUCAGAAGCAGCCAUCCUUUAAAGAGUGCGUAACAGCUCACUGGUCGAUCGUACUUCUGCGCCGACAAUUCAACGGGGUUCAAGUUUCAUACCGAAAUUGCGAAUUUCCCGCCGACUCGGCGGGGAGUGGUAGGGGAGCGUUCUGUCAGCAGUGAAGCCCCGCCGUAAGGCGAGGUGGAGUAAACAGAAGUGAGAAUGCCGGCAUGAGUAGCGUCUUGGACGUGAAAUUCGUCCACACCAAAAACCCAAGGUUUCCUGGGCAACGUCAAUCGACCCAGGGUUAGUCGGUCCUAAGCCGAGGCCGAAAGGCGUAGGCGAUGGACAAGUCGUUUAUAUUCGACUACUAAGAAAGGUUCGUUAUCAAGUGAUGGGAUAACCGAGGUAGACAACCAAGCGGAUUUAAGGAAUUAAUUCCGUCUAAACGAUAAGGAAGUAGAAUGUGGCAAAUCCCAUUUUAUGGUUAUCUGAGUCGUGAUGGUCCUGCAAAACGCAAGUGAUGCGGGAUUGGUCAAUGUUUAGCUUGCAAGAAAAAUCUCUAGCGAGAACCUUUUUUAUCCGUACCUAAAACCGACACUGGUGGGUGAGUUGAGAAUACAAAGGUGAACGAGAGAACCCUUGCUAAGGAACUCGGCAAAUUAAUGGCGUAACUUCGGGAGAAGCCAUGCCCCCGCUUGGCGGGGGCCGCAGGAAAACACUCCAAGCGACUGUUUAUCAAAAACACAGGUCUCUGCUAAAUCGUAAGAUGAUGUAUAGGGGCUGACGCCUGCCCAGUACCGGUAUGUUAAAUGCGAAGGUUAUUCCGCCGAGAGGCGGGAGAAGCUUUCAAGUGAAGCACCGGUGAACGGCGGCCGUAACUAUAACGGUCCUAAGGUAGCGUAAUCCCUUGUCGGGUAAACAAUCGGAAUUUGCCCGAAUUGUACUGUAAAGUAUGAUAAGUAAACUAGCUAAUAACGGGGAAACCUUCUUCUUAAAGCUACCAUGAAUUUAAGAAAUGGUAAUCCCGUGGGAAUCCUCGCCGAUUCGGCGGGGGAACCCCUAACGACUGAGUCGAAAGACGAGAUCUCGUUUGAUUAUGAUAUAAUUUAGCCAAACGAGAUAAUACGCUAGCUCUUGCCAGAAGAAAGGUGUCAUGGAGUUUCCUUCUUUUGUAACAGGAUUUUCAGAUGGUGAAGCUUGUUUUUCUGUCUCUUUCAGUUUUAGAAAGAAACUUAAAACAGGUAUUGAAGUAAGACCAAGUUUUUGCAUUGCUCAGCACAAACGAAACUUGUCUCUUUUAAAAGAAGUACGAGAUUACUUUGAUUGUGGAAGUAUAAGAUUCAGUAAAAGAGAUCAAAAUUAUAAGUUUGAAGCUAGAAGCAUCAAAGACUUAACUGAUAAAGUAGUCCCUCAUUUUAGAAAGUAUAAACUGCAAUCUACAAAGAAAGAGGAUUUUGAAAAGUUUGACAUAAUUUGUCAGCUUAUUUCAAGUAAUCACCACCGCUCAAAAGAUUAUCUAGUUCAAAUAAUUGAACUGGCUUAUCAAAUGAAUGAGAGCGGUAAAAGAAAACAUACAAAAGAAAAGCUUCUAAAACACUUAAGCAAGAUGAAGAGAUAGUCUGAUUUUUUGUGGAAACACAAAGACAACAAAUGAAGUUCCGACCUGCAUGAAAGGCGUAACGACUUGGAGACUGUCUCAGCAAGGGACUCGGCGAAAUUGCAAUGGCCGUGAAGAUGCGGCCUCCUUGUACCAGGACAAAAAGACCCCGUGGAGCUUUACUGCAGCUUGACACUGGAUUAAGGUUUAGGAUGUGUAGCAUAGGUGGGAGCUUGUGCGUAGCACAAGAAGACUCUAUUUUCAAAUUCUAAGCACAAAAUUCGAAGUUCCAAAUAAAUAUAAAUAUCAAAGCACUAAAUAAAAAAUUAGAAUUUAGGUUUUAGAAUUUAAGCUUCAUUUGGAAUUUAGGAAUUAGAAUUUAGUGCUUUAAGUUGUAGGGUUUUCUCGCGCUGCGCGCGAGCGCCAAUGAAAUACCACCCUUUCUGAAUUUUGAUUCUUAUCCUUUUUCCGUGAAUCCGGUGAGGAGACAAUGUCUGGUAGGCAGUUUGACUGGGGCGGUCGCCUCCCAAAGAGUAACGGAGGCGCCCAAAGGUCGACUUAUCCGGGAUGGAAAUCCGGAGGUAAGCGUAAAGGUAGAAGUCGGCUUAACUGCGAGACCUACAAGUCAAGCAGGGACGAAAGUCGGGCUUAGUGAUCCUACGGUUUGCUUGUGGUAGCGCCGUAGCUUAUCGGAUAAAAGCUACCCCGGGGAUAACAGGCUGAUCUUACCCAAGAGUUCAUAUCGACGGUAAGGUUUGGCACCUCGAUGUCGGCUCGUCGCAUCCUGGGGGUGAAGUAACUCCCAAGGGUUGGGCUGUUCGCCCAUUAAAGCGGCACGUGAGCUGGGUUCAGAACGUAAAAUCAUUGCGUUCUACACCAGUAAUGGUGUAUAAUAAAUCUGACUAAUAUCGGUGAAACCCUCGAUGAGUCUACCGAACGCUCAUCAGGGCAAUACCGAGGGAAGAUAGAAGUUCUUAUGCAAGAAAAAACAAAGGCUUAUAUUGCUGGUUUUUUAGAUGGUGACGGUUGUGUGAUGUUUCAACUGGUGAAGAGAAAAGGUUAUAUUUUUGGUUUUCAAAUACGAGCAAGUGUUGUUUUUUACCAGAAAGCUGGAAAUGAGAAUUUCAUGAAUUGGUUGAAACAUAAGUUGAGAGACGGAUAUAUCAGGCAACGAAACGAUCAUAUUUUGGAAUAUACAAUUGUGGGACAUCGACCAGCAAUGAGGGUUUUAAGCUUGGUUGCGCCUUAUGUUUUUCUGAAAAGAAAACAGGUUAAGCUGGGAUUGCAACUUCUCAAACAACUUGUUGAAAAACGCGAACGAUAUACUUCGCAGGAGUUUUUAAAGUUAUGUAAACAGGUUGAUAAAAUAAGCGAAUUCAAUUAUACGAAAAAGAAAAUACAUAAUUUUCAGGAAGUAAAAAGAUAUCUAAGCGACAAAGAACUUCUUUCCCCGUAGAGACUGAUCCCCAGGCUCAUAAGCGGUUAUGAGCGUAAGGUGAGAUUAUCAUCUAGUAAUAGAGAUAAUCAUACGUCGGCCCCUAAUUGAAAAAUUUACCGCAAUAUUAGGGUGAAGAUAUAGUCCAUGCCACACGAAAGUGUUUGGAAAAUCAUGCGUGAGACAGUUCGGUCUCUAUCCGGUACAAGCGUUAGAUUCUUGAAGAGGGCUGUCUCUAGUACGAGAGGACCGAGAUGGACGAACCUCUGGUGUACCAGUUGUCCUGCCAAGGGCAUCGCUGGGUAGCUACGUUCGGUUGGGAUAAACGCUGAAAGCAUCUAAGUGUGAAGCCCACUCUAAGAUGAGGAAUCUUAAUACCCGCCGCAAGGCGGGCGAGACUCCAGGAAGACUACCUGGUAAAAUAGUCCGGCAUAUGCCGGGACGGAUAGGCGGUCGGUGUAAGUGCAGUAAUGCAUUCAGCCAAGCCGUACUAAUAAGUC
rnacentral:rRNA from 1 species